UAUCUCUAAAAAUAUUUUAUGAAAAUUGAUAAAAGAAAUUAUAUUUGAAACAUAAAUUGAAGUAUGAUUGUCACUACACAAGUUGAAAAUAAUUAAAUAAGUAAAGCUAUUGACUCAAACAAAAUAAAGUUAAGUUCAAUUUUUUAAGUGUCAACAUUGUACUGACCUUGAAACAUACUUAGCCUACAAAAAUGUAACACAAUAAUGUUGACAUCCAUUUGACGUUCUUCAUAUUGUUUCAUGAAAAUAUCAACAUAAUUCUCCCACAAAGUGCAAGACAUUCUCUUUCCCCUUUGAACCAACAUUAUAUAAUAUAGUAAGAACAACAAUAGUUUAGUUUUAAUAAUAAAGAAAUAACGACAAAAAUGUACAUAAAUACUCACUCGGUAUCUUCUAGAAUAAGAUCCAAUAUUUUUUUUUAUUUACCAUCUCGAGUUGUCAGUUUUGUUGGAUUAGGCCGGGAGGCAAUUCUGCCUAUAACAUCUGCACAUGUCACAUUGAUGGGACUAAGAUUUUGUAGUGUAUGUAAAUAUAUGAAAAAAAAAUAUAAAAAUAUUUUAUCAUUACCAAUUGGAAGAGCAUCUGCAAUGUUUUCAGUGGCUUGAAUAUCAUCAAAGGACUUGAAUGCAUAAAUGAUAUUAGGAAAAGUUGGAUUAGCUUCAACUCUCACUUUCGUGUUUCCAUAAAAAGUUGCUUUAUAUUUAUUCGAAGUAACUCUAAACUUUAAUUGAUUAUGUGUAACACCGAAGUUACGUAUAGCAUAAAGUCCUCCUUCUUGAAACUUAGAGAUGAACUUAGAUACUAUAAGUUUUGGUGCUGUGAAAUGGUACCUAGUUCCCUACAAUUUGAAUCAGAAUGGAUUAGAAUGCAUGAGGGUUUUGAAAAAAAAAAAUUGUAUAUGCUAUAUGUUCUAUAUUUAAACUGUUACAUGUCUUUUGUUUGUAUAUGUUUCAAAUAGAUAAACUAAAAUCUUACAAAGCGCGCCCCGGAGAGAUUCUUCAAAGACGUGUAAUCUUUUGUUUUAAAAUCUCAUGUGAAAAUUGUGAUUUUCUCUUGUUUUCUAAUAGAGAAAAUUUGAUGGAGAAUUAGGAAAUUGGUGUGUAUGUGAAUGUGGUGCACACUUUGAAGUGGGGAACAAAGACACACCCAAUAAUUCUUCAUUCAUCACACAUGCUUACACGUCAUUCCACUUCUAAUCAUAUCCAAAUCCUCAAAUCAUUAGAAUUUAACAACAAAAAACUGACCUCGGAGAGAUUCUAACAUUAAUGGUUUGUUCUAUAGGUAGAUUUCAGUUUCAGUUUCAGAAAACUUAUAGGUAUGAUCGCCUCUUAAUAGUAUCUUAAGCUUUAGCUUGCUGAAGUGAAUAGGAAAAUGUUAAUUAGCAAGCCUCUAUACAGGUGCAUGCUUUUUAUUUUUAAGAACUUUUUUUUCUUUUGUCUACAUAUGUAAGUUGAAACCUGCCUUAUUAGAUUUGCUUACCAACUUGAGGAUUUGAACUUUGGAUUUGAAUGUAGAAUGCAGGAUGGUGUUGAAAAAGAAUUGUAUAUGCCUUAUGUUCUAUAUACAUGCACUGCUAUAGAGUAUUGGAAUUUAAAAAAAUCACGCAGAUAUUCAAAUCAUUUCAAUCGAUAGCAUGUAUGUAGAGAAGUAAAGAAUGCCAAAAUCUGUGUGACUUAUAUGACCAAUUUUUGAAAAUGAGGCCUGUUGCAAUAUCAGCAAACUUAUAGGUGACAUUGCCAAAGGGCGAAGCUCGUUGAAGAGUGACCACAUUCCGACCAUCGGUGUUUUUGAACACAAUGAAUCUACAACCAUUUUUAGUUAUUAGAUAUUGAAACUGUAGCAGCUAUAAUGUAAUAUAUAAACAUUACAUCUCUUAAAAUACUACACUAACAAUGACAUUAUGAAUCUGCAACAACAUUUAACUAUUAGAUUUGCUUACCAACUGGAGGAUUUCAAAUCUGGAUUUGAAUGUAGAAUGCAAGAGGCUGUUGAAAAAAAAUUGUAUAUGCCUUAUGUUCUAUAUAUAUGAUUUGUUAGUAUUGGAAUAAUAAAAGUUCAGGCAGGUAUUUUGGGGCA